rnacentral:rRNA from 1 species
CCUACGGGAGGCAGCAGUGAGGAAUAUUGGUCAAUGGGCGCGAGCCUGAACCAGCCAAGUCGCGUGAGGGAAGACGGUCCUAUGGAUUGUAAACCUCUUUUGUCGGGGAGCAAAAGACGCCACGCGUGGCGUUCCGAGAGUACCCGAAGAAAAAGCAUCGGCUAACUCCGUGCCAGCAGCCGCGGUAAUACGGAGGAUACGAGCGUUAUCCGGAUUUAUUGGGUUUAAAGGGUGCGCAGGCGGAAGAUUAAGUCAGCGGUAAAAUUGAGAGGCUCAACCUCGUCGAGCCGUUGAAACUGGUGUUCUUGAGUGAGUGAGAGGUAUGCGGAAUGCGUGGUGUAGCGGUGAAAUGCAUAGAGAUCACGCAGAACUCCGAUUGCGAAGGCAGCAUACCGGCGCUCAACUGACGCUCAUGCACGAAAGUGUGGGUAUCGAACAGGAUUAGAUACCCGGGUAGUC